AUUGAACGCUGGCGGCAGGCCUAACACAUGCAAGUCGAGCGAGCGGCGGACGGGAGAGUAAUGUAUGGGGACUGCACGAAAGAGGGGGAUAACUACUGGAAACGGUAGCUAAUACCGCAAACUAACGGCUAACCCAUAUGGGAUUAGCUAGUUGGUGAGGGAAUGGCUCACCAAGGCGACGAUCCCUAGCUGGUCUGAGAGGAUGAUCAGCCACACUGGGACUGAGACACGGCCCAGACUCCGACGGAGGCAGCAGUGGGGAAUAUUGCACAAUGGGCUCAAGCCUGAUGCAGCCAUGCCGCGUGUAUGAAGAAGGCCCUAGGGUUGUAAAGUACUUUCAGUCGGGAGGCGUUACCGACAGAAGAAGCACCGGCUAACUCCGUGCCAGCAGCCGCGGUAAUAC
rnacentral:rRNA from 1 species